rnacentral:rRNA from 1 species
AUUGAACGCUGGCGGCAGGCCUAGCACAUGCAAGUCGAGCGGAUGAAGGGAGCUUGCUCCUGGAUUCAGCGGCGGACGGGUGAGUAAUGCCUGGGAAUCUGCCUGGUAGUGGGGGAUAACGUCCGGAAACGGGCGCUAAUACCGCAUACGUCCUGAGGGAGAAAGUGGGGGAUCUUCGGACCUCACGCUAUCAGAUGAGCCUAGGUCGGAUUAGCUAGUUGGUGGGGUAAAGGCCUACCAAGGCGACGAUCCGUAACUGGACUGAGAGGAUGAUCAGUCACACUGGAACUGAGACACGGUCCAGACUCCUACGGGAGGCAGCAGUGGGGAAUAUUGGACAAUGGGCGAAAGCCUGAUCCAGCCAUGCCGCGUGUGUGAAGAAGGUCUUCGGAUUGUAAAGCACUUUAAGUUGGGAGGAAGGGCAGUAAGUUAAUACCUUGCUGUUUUGACGUUACCAACAGAAUAAGCACCGGCUAACUUCGUG